UGUGGAUCUGUUUCAUUCAACAAAAUGGAAGGGUCCCCUGAGACAUGGGCAAUGACAUAUACUGGGCUGGGCACCCCUCUUUAGGGAGACUCCUGACCAUCCUCCAGCCAGGCCCCUUCCCCAAGGACAAGGACUCCAGGACAGCUCCAAACAGGCCAUGAGAGUGAGAAAUGUAUAUACACAGAGCCUGGGAUCUAUGCCACAUCAACCCUGGUUUCUAGGACCUGUGCUGGCAUCUUCUCUAGGAUUUCCAACUGAACCUGGAGUUAAUAGAUUCGCCAAGACUAACUGGCCAACCAGCUCCGGUCCCCACUGUUUCUCCAGAGCUAGGUUUACAGAUAGAUGCCAUCCAGCCUGGUCUUUUCAUGGGUACUGGAAAUUUGAACUCAGCCCCUGCUCCCGUGCUUGUACAUCAAACAUUUUAUUGUCAGCCAUCUAUCCCUUCAGUCUGGAGCCUGAACGCCUUCUGUGGAAUCUGGACCUCUAGGGAGUUACGAAGGCUCACUUGUCAAGUGUUCUCUGAGGAGAUUCAGACUGAAGAGAGAAAUAGAAAGGAAAACCUGUAUCAGCAAGUACCAGAGGAAAUGACCAAGACCAUACAGAAAGGGAAUUUUGUGGCUAUGUGCUGAACCACAUGAAGCACAAGAAAAGUUUAUGUAAGAAGUUGCCUCAGUCAAAAGAUGUCUCCACGAUGGACAACACACCAGGUGGCU